GACGAACCGUGCGAACGUUGUUCGGAAUCACUGGGCUUAAAGGGCGCGUAGGCGGCUGCGCAAGUCCGGGGUGAAAGCCCCCAGCUCAACUGGGGAAGUGCCUUGGAUACUGUGCAGCUCGAGCGAGGUAGGGGUCGUGGGAACUUCCGGUGGAGCAGUGAAAUGCGUUGAUAUCGGAAGGAACGCCGGUGGCGAAAGCGCACGACUGGACCUCUUCUGACGCUGAGGCGCGAAAGCCAGGGGAGCAAACGGG
rnacentral:rRNA from 1 species